AAAUCAGUUAUGGUUCACUAGAUCGUACAGUUUACAUGGAUAACUGUGGUAAUUCUAGAGCUAAUACAUGCAACCAGUCCGUACCCUUGUGGUGCGGACGCAGUUAUUUGCCCAAGACCAAUCCGGCCCUCGGGUCGUUCAAUUGGUGACUCUGAAUAACCGUAGCGGAGCGCUUGUUCUCGUAACGGCGCCAGAUCUUUCAAGUGUCUGACUUAUCAGCUUGUAGCUAGGUUAUGUACCUAGCUAGGCUUUCACGGGUAACGGGUGGUCAGGGCCAGACACCGGAGAGGGAGCCUGAGAAACGGCUACCACAUCCAAGGAAGGCAGCAGGCGCGCAAAUUACCCACUCCCGGCACGGGGAGGUAGUGACGAAAAAUAACGAUGCGAGAGCUUUUAGCUUCUCGUAAUCGGAAUGGGUACACUUUAAAUCCUUUAACGAGGAUCUAUUGGAGGGCAAGUCUGGUGCCAGCAGCCGCGGUAAUUCCAGCUCCAAUAGCGUAUAUUAAAGUUGCUGCGGUUAAAAAGCUCGUAGUUGGAUCUGGGUAGUCGAUGGACGGUGCUUCGUAAGAAGCUACUGCCCGUUCGGCACCACAGCCCGGCCAUGUCUUGCAUGCAUGCUCUUCACUGAGUGUGCUUGGCGACCGGAACGUUUACUUUGAAAAAAUUAGAGUGCUCAAAGCAGGCGUUAAGCCUUGUAUAAUGGUGCAUGGGAUAAUGGAAUAAGAUUUUUGGCUUGUUCUGUUGGUUUUUAGAGUCAGAAGU
rnacentral:rRNA from 1 species